rnacentral:lncRNA from 1 species
GUAAAGACUGGGGUCGUUACUGCCGUCUAGUGGCCUGAUGGGGGCGGUGCAGCUAAAUUUAAUGACUCCCUGAGUCAUGGAAUCCUGUAGACUAAACUGUCAGUUGGCUGAAACUGGGACACCCUUUCCUCAGGUCUCCAGUGGACAGAAACCUGCAUCCUGCAGACAGCAGCACCACUUUCUGACCGAGGAGCAUAAUUAGGAAGGCCGGAAAUGAAAUCAUAUAGGUAAACGCAGAAUCCUGGGGUUGCGGGGAGCAGAAUGUGUCAGCUUGCCAGUCAGGCUUCUCUCAGGUGACUGAACUGCUGGUGCUGGUGGGAGAGUGCGUGGACACUUGUGGCCUCUCAUCUGUACGCAGGCAGCUGAAAGGCGUGGUCGGACCUUUUUCAAGUUUGCUAGGAGCUUGGGCAACGAUGCUGAGGGGCUGGCCCAGGGAGUGUUCCAAUUUCUAAGCCAGGAAUUUCACCAUGGGGCAGGGCUGUUCACCUGUUUCCUUAGGGUAAUGCUGCCCCUAGU